AGCGGAGUUAUUUAUACCUGUGUGGUAUCUCAUGUCAGCCUUCGGAUUCCAGCAGUUGCCGUCUACGCCGUUUCUGAACCCAAAACAGAAGUUGAUGAUAAUGGUGGAAUGCCCGUUAUGAUGAUUAUCCGUUUUAUGUUAUGCUUUGUGGCAGUGUUACUGUUGACCAUCAUCAUUGUUGACUAUCUUACAAUCAACCCACAUAAAAGAUGAAGUGAGGAAGAAACGAUUGAGGUGAUUCAAUUAUGCUAAUGGAAUACACGGACUGGAAGAACAGAAGAUUAUAAAUUAUGAGCAGUAUACUGUAUAAAAUAUAUUUGAAUGCGUUUGAGUUAUACCA